UUAGUUGAAGCUAAAAUAAGGAAGCAUUUCACUGUUAAUGAAAAAAAUGAUAAAAUCCAACUAAA
rnacentral:tRNA from 1 species